UGCAGCAACCCCGUGCAACGCCUGGCGGCGUGCUAACCCAUGCAGUCGAGCGGUCAUUGUGUUGACCACUGUGUACAUUCACGAAGUAUGGAGAUAAGAACCAUACAAUUGUGUGCAGGUGUCAUACAGUGGAUAGCGGCGGACGGGUGAGUAACGCGUGAGUAAUCUGCCCUAGACAGGGGGAAUACACAGGGAAACUUGUGCUAAUACCGCAUAACGUAUUGAGGUGGCAUCACUUUAAUACCAAAGGAGAAAUCCGGUUUAGGAUGAACUCGCGUCCGAUUAGCUAGUUAGUGGGGUAAAGGCCUACCAAGGGCGACGAUCGGUAGCCGAACUGAGAGGUUGAUCGGCCACAUUGGGACUGAGACACGGCCCAGACUCCUACGGGAGGCAGCAGUGGGGAAUAUUGCGCAAUGGGGGAAACCCUGACGCAGCAACGCCGCGUGAAGGAUGAAGGUCUUCGGCAUUGUAAACUUCUUUGAUGAGGGAAGAAUAAAUGACGGUACCUCAAAAACAAGCCACGGACUAACUACGUGCCAGCAGCCGCGGUAAUACGUAGGUAGCGAGCGUAGUCCGGAAUUACUGGGUGUAAAGGGCGUGUAGGCAGGAUCGCAAGUCAGAUGUGAAAUACCG
rnacentral:rRNA from 1 species